AUUGAACGCUGGCGGAAUGCUUUACACAUGCAAGUCGAACGGUAACGGGCCUUCGGGUGCCGACGAGUGGCGAACGGGUGAGUAAUGUAUCGGAACGUACCUUUCAGUGGGGGAUAACGUAGCGAAAGUUACGCUAAUACCGCAUAUUCUGUGCGCAGGAAAGCAGGGGAUCGCAAGACCUUGCGCUGAUUGAGCGGCCGAUGUCAGAUUAGCUAGUUGGUGAGGUAAAGGCUCACCAAGGCGACGAUCUGUAGCGGGUCUGAGAGGAUGAUCCGCCACACUGGAACUGAGACACGGUCCAGACUCCUACGGGAGUCAGCAGUGGGGAAUUUUGGACAAUGGGGGCAACCCUGAUCCAGCCAUGCCGCGUGAGUGAAGAAGGCCUUCGGGUUGUAAAGCUCUUUCGGCCGGGAAGAAAUCGCACGGGCUAAUACCCUGUGUGGAUGACGGUACCGGAAUAAGAAGCACCGGCUAACUACGUGCCAGCCGCCGCGGUAAUAC
rnacentral:rRNA from 1 species